rnacentral:lncRNA from 1 species
GUGUUGCCGCGAAGAAUAAAAGCAAUCGACAGUAAUGGCGACUUCAGGAGAAGCGGCUCAGUCAGGCGUCAUUGGACCAGAUGAGCAUCCACCAGCAGAGGACGCAGCUGGGGAGGAGUCUGAUAGGACACCCGAGAGGAGACAUGUUGACACCUUGCUGGACAUCAGUGAGGAAGACUUCCUGAAAGAGCAGGAGCCACAUGAAUAUCACUGUUACUCUGGUUUGGAAGAAGCUGUUCGAGGUUGGGGCAGAGUUGCUCCAAUGAGCUGCAUACUAUUGACUCAGAAGAGAUGCAGGAAGCCAAAGCUUAAAGAGGCUGGGAACAUGGCCCCAACAUCUGUAGACCAAACGUCACUUACUGCAGACAGCUCUGCCAGCUGUGAAUCGCAUGCAGGUUACCAGGACUACAUUAAGAAAACCAUGACCGUAAACCAUCAGGUGGGACCUACAAGAAGCGCUGCUGCGACAGCCCUGCUGCCAGAUGCCUCAGAUUUGCCUGUUCUCUGUGCCAUGCAGAAAACCAUGUCUCAUCAUUUACUCGAAAAUAUAAAGGAAGAAUCACUUAAUGAGAUGCCUGUGCAGCCUCAUAAUCUUUCUUUGAAAUACUCCGUGUCAGAAAAUAGACUCACAAAGCCUCCAAGAGCCACCCAAAGACAUAAUAACACAGUGGUCCCCAUUAAAAACUUCACAUUUUUACCACCAAUCAAGUCACCACACCUGAAUCCCACAGCCAGUGGGCAACUCUACAGUGGGAAGAAAGCUUCAGAAGGGGAAACCUCAAAGGAAAACAGUUUCAUGUCUGUCAAGAGUGAGACAACAGGAACAAGAGUGGACUCUACCGUUCAUACAGAGAUCCGUAGUAACUCCGUAGCCCUGAACUCCAAAUACUGCAUAUGCCAGCAUAAUCCCCAUUUGUUUUCUGCUGUAACUGUCAAUAUUCCAAAGAUGUAUAAAUUACCGUGUUCUCCAAAACCUGACACAGUACAACACAUGAGACACUCACAGGGCAAGAACCUCAGAAAGAUAGUCAACAUCAGCCCUGCAGCAUCUGCACAUACCCGCAUGCACCCCAGCUGCCUGUUUUCUGAAGGAUCAACACUUCAUAGUCAUGCCGUAUGAGACCUGUGGAAUGAAACAAUGAAACAUGAUUUAUGAAAUUGUUUUUAAAGUUUGUUACCAAGUAAAACCUGUUUAAUUGCUUCAUUUUGCUUAUUUUCCACCAAAAGUCAGUUGGAAUUCAAAAUUCAAUGUCUGAGACUUUUUCAUAAAAGUAACUCAUUA